GUGGCGAGCGGCGGACGGGUGAGUAAUGCCUAGGGAUCUGCCCAGUCGAGGGGGAUAACAGUUGGAAACGACUGCUAAUACCGCAUACGCCCUACGGGGGAAAGAGGGGGACCUUCGGGCCUCUCGCGAUUGGAUGAACCUAGGUGGGAUUAGCUAGUUGGUGAGGUAAUGGCUCACCAAGGCGACGAUCCCUAGCUGUUCUGAGAGGAUGAUCAGCCACACUGGGACUGAGACACGGCCCAGACUCCUACGGGAGGCAGCAGUGGGGAAUAUUGCACAAUGGGGGAAACCCUGAUGCAGCCAUGCCGCGUGUGUGAAGAAGGCCUUCGGGUUGUAAAGCACUUUCAGUAGGGAGGAAAGGGUGAGUCUUAAUACGGCUCAUCUGUGACGUUACCUACAGAAGAAGGACCGGCUAACUCCGUGCCAGCCGCCG
rnacentral:rRNA from 1 species